rnacentral:rRNA from 1 species
GACGAACGCUGGCGGCGUGCUUAACACAUGCAAGUCGAACGGAAAGGCCCUGCUUUUGUGGGGUGCUCGAGUGGCGAACGGGUGAGUAACACGUGAGUAACCUGCCCUUGACUUUGGGAUAACUUCAGGAAACUGGGGCUAAUACCGGAUAGGAGCUCCUGCUGCAUGGUGGGGGUUGGAAAGUUUCGGCGGUUGGGGAUGGACUCGCGGCUUAUCAGCUUGUUGGUAGGGUAGUGGCUUACCAAGGCUUUGACGGGUAGCCGGCCUGAGAGGGUGACCGGCCACAUUGGGACUGAGAGACGGCCCAGACUCCUACGGGAGGCAGCAGUGGGGAAUAUUGCACAAUGGGCGGAAGCCUGAUGCAGCAACGCCGCGUGCGGGAUGACGGCCUUCGGGCUGUAAACCGCUUUCGCCUGUGACGAAGCGUGAGUGACGGUAAUGGGUAAAGAAGCACCGGCUAACUACGUG